rnacentral:rRNA from 1 species
GUACACGCUGUGACUAGCAUAUCAAUAAGCGGAGGAAAAGAAACUAACUAGGAUUCCCUCAGUAACGGCGAGUGAAGCGGGAAGAGCUCAAAUUUGAAAUCUUCAAGGUUCUACCUUGACGAAUUGUAGUUUAAAGAAGUGUUUUCUGUUGGAGUUUUGGUAAAAGUUCUUUGGAAUAGGACAUCAUAGAGGGUGAGAAUCCCGUAUUUGACCAUUAUUUCCAGCUUUGUGAUACACUUUCAAAGAGUCGGAUUGUUUGGGAAUGCAGGUCCAAAAUGGGUAGUAAAUUUCAUCUAAAGCUAAAUAUUGGCGAGAGACCGAUAGCGAACAAGUACCGUGAGGGAAAGAUGAAAAGAACUUUGAAAAGAGAGUUAAACAGUACGUGAAAUUGUCAAAAGGGAAGCGUUUGACACCAGUGUUGUUUUCUCGAAAAUCAAUUAAAAAAGGCAGGAUUUUGUGUUGUAUUGACUUUAUCAGCUUUCUGCACUCUUUUCUUGUCUUUUUUAAUGCACUUUUCGUUUAACAAGUCAACAUCAAUUUCUUUUGUUGUAAAAGGGUCAUUGGAAGGUGGCUUUCUUUUCGGAGAAAGUGUUUAUAGCCUUUGGCCUCUGCAAUCGGAGAGAUUGAGGUCUGCAGCGUAGAUCCUUCGGGGUUAGAUACAUUUGUGCUAAGUUAUAGCCUUUCAUAGACAACUUGUUGACUAUGAUCAGUCAUGUAGCUUACUCGCUUAUGCUAUUUUACCUACGCUUAGGAUGUUGAAGACUCUACAGAGAU